rnacentral:misc_RNA from 1 species
UUAGAUGCUUAAAUUCAUUUUCAUUAUCCAAUUUUUAGAACACUUCAUGCUUUAGAUAUAUAAAAAAAAAAUUGAUGAUGCAGCAUAAUUUGAUAGCCAAGCUAUCUUUUCAUCCUACCAAUGUAAUCAUUCUAUCACAUCCCCCAACCUACUGAGAUAAAGAAAAAUAAGAAGUUCAAAUUAUAAUAGGCAAAUAGAAAUCAUGGAAAUAACUCCACCAUCAGA